UGAGUAAACUGGGCAGCCGCGGAAGUGUACUGCUUUCGAGGAAAGUCCGAGCUCCGCAGGGCAGGGUGCUGGGUAACGCCCAGUGGGGGUGACCCUAAGGAAAGUGCCACAGAAAAAAACCGCCCUCCACUCCCUGGAGAGGUAAGGGUGCAACGGUGCGGUAAGAGCGCACCAGGAGCCGGGUGACCGGCUUGCUAGGUAAACCCCACCCGGAGCAAGACCGAAUAGGAGGGAGAUGAUGUUGCCCGCUGAAUCCCUCGGGUGUGAGUCGCUGGAGACGCCAGGCAACUGGAGCCCUAGAUAGAUGGCUGCCGCUCCUAAAGGGAGAACAGAACUCGGCUUACAGGUUUGCUCAUGCG
rnacentral:RNase_P_RNA from 1 species